rnacentral:tRNA from 1 species
GAUUUUCAAGAAAAAUAAUUUCGUUUUGUUUUGAAAGCAAAAAGAGGGGUUAAAACCCCGAAAAUCU